rnacentral:rRNA from 1 species
GACCUACGGGAGGCAGCAGUGGGGAAUAUUGGACAAUGGGCGCAAGCCUGAUCCAGCCAUGCCGCGUGAGUGAUGAAGGCCUUAGGGUUGUAAAGCUCUUUUGUCCGGGACGAUAAUGACGGUACCGGAAGAAUAAGCCCCGGCUAACUUCGUGCCAGCAGCCGCGGUAAUACGAAGGGGGCUAGCGUUGCUCGGAAUCACUGGGCGUAAAGGGCGCGUAGGCGGCCAUUCAAGUCGGGGGUGAAAGCCUGUGGCUCAACCACAGAAUUGCCUUCGAUACUGUUUGGCUUGAGUAUGGUAGAGGUUGGUGGAACUGCGAGUGUAGAGGUGAAAUUCGUAGAUAUUCGCAAGAACACCGGUGGCGAAGGCGGCCAACUGGACCAUUACUGACGCUGAGGCGCGAAAGCGUGGGGAGCAAACAGGAUUAGAUACCCUAGUAGUCC